rnacentral:tRNA from 1 species
GUUUUUAUAAUUUAAAAUAAAAUAUUGGUCUUGUAAACCAAAAAUAAGGAAACUUUAAAAACU